GAUGAUCCGGUGCUUGCACCGGGGAUUAGUGGCGAACGGGUGAGUAACACGUGAGUAACCUGCCCUUAACUCUGGGAUAAGCCUGGGAAACUGGGUCUAAUACCGGAUAUGACUCCUCAUCGCAUGGUGGGGGGUGGAAAGCUUUUGUGGUUUUGGAUGGACUCGCGGCCUAUCAGCUUGUUGGUGAGGUAAUGGCUCACCAAGGCGACGACGGGUAGCCGGCCUGAGAGGGUGACCGGCCACACUGGGACUGAGACACGGCCCAGACUCCUACGGGAGGCAGCAGUGGGGAAUAUUGCACAAUGGGCGCAAGCCUGAUGCAGCGACGCCGCGUGAGGGAUGACGGCCUUCGGGUUGUAAACCUCUUUCAGUAGGGAAGAAGCGAAAGUGACGGUACCUGCAGAAGAAGCGCCGGCUAACUACGUGCCAGCAGCCGCGGUAAUACGUAGGGCGCAAGCGUUAUCCGGAAUUAUUGGGCGUAAAGAGCUCGUAGGCGGUUUGUCGCGUCUGCCGUGAAAGUCCGGGGCUCAACUCCGGAUCUGCGGUGGGUACGGGCAGACUAGAGUGAUGUAGGGGAGACUGGAAUUCCUGGUGUAGCG
rnacentral:rRNA from 1 species